UCAUGGUUAACAUCCUCACUUUU
rnacentral:snRNA from 1 species